rnacentral:rRNA from 1 species
UGAUUAAUAAUAUUAAUAUUAAUUUUUUUUUAUUUUAAAAAAAAUAUUUUUGUUUAUAGUUUAUUGUUUAUAAUUAAAAAAUGUCUUGAUAGUUUAUAGUACUGUGAAGGAAAUUUUACAAAUAGAUAUAAGUACUUUUUUAGGGUACCUUUUGUAUCAGGGUUUAUCAAAUUAAAAAUUAUAUAAUUUUUUCCCGAAAUUUUAAGAUACACCCUCAAAUUAAGGUUAAUGUGGCAAUAUUAUUUUAAAUUUUGGGGUAGGGGAUAUAUUCUAUUCAAUUAAAAAUAUCUGGUUUCUUGAGAAUUAGGUUAAAUCUAUGCCUAAAAAUAGAUAUUAUUCAAUUUUUUUUAGGCACAAAUCAAUCAGGAUAAGCUGGCUGAUUUAUUUAAAAAUCUCUAUUUAAUACAAUUUAUGUAGGUUUAAUAAUAUCCAUCAUUUAUUUUUUAAAAAUUAAUUUUGUUAUGAUAUUUAUUAUAUGUGAUUUUAGUUUUUUAUCAGGAUAAAAAACUUAAUUUUUAAGUUUUUGAAAUAAUGAUAAAAUAAGUAUUUUAUAAAAUUAAGGAUUAGUAACUCGGCAAAUAUUAUUUUCACCUGUUUAACAAAAACAUGGUCUUUUGUUUAUUUAAAAGAUCUGGCCUGCCCUAUGAUUUUUAUUAAAUGGCUGCAGUAUUUUGACUGUACAAAGGUAGCAUAAUCAUUUGUCUUUUAAUUGAAGGCUGGAAUGAAUGGUUGGAUGAAAAAUAUACUUUCUUAUUUUUAUAUAUAAAAUUUGAUUUUUUAGUCAAAAAGCUAAAAUUUUUUUAUAGGACGAGAAGACCCUAUAGAAUUUUAUUUUUUAUAUUUAUAAACAUUUAAGUUUUUUAUAUGAUUAUAUAUUUUAAAUAAUUAUGUUGGGGUGACAAAAAAAAUACUAUAACUUUUUUUUAAUUUUUUCAUUUAUAAAUGUUUUUUUGAUCCUAUAUUAUGGAUUAGAAGAUUAAAUUACCUUAGGGAUAACAGCGUUAUUUUUUUGGAGAGUACUUAUCGAUAAAAAAGUUUGCGACCUCGAUGUUGGAUUAAAAUAGGUACCAGGGGUAGAAUAUUGGUAACCAAGUCUGUUCGACUUUUAAUUUUUUACAUGAUCUGAGUUCAGACCGGCGUGAGCCAGGUCGGUUUCUAUCCAUAGAUUUUUAUAAAAUUUUAGUACGAAAGGACCAAAUUUUGGGAAAAUUUUUUAAAUUAUAUGAGUAAAAUUAAUU